rnacentral:lncRNA from 1 species
CGAGUGUUAGGCCAAUGACUCCCGAUCCAGAUGGCUCAGGGCACUAGGUGUAAAGACACCCUAACAAGCUUAAUAACUCAAGUCAACUAGGCUCCAAGGCCAAAUUAGUCAUUCAGAGUUUAAUCUCAGCCAUCCUCACCUUUUUACGCGAACACUCGCUGCUUGCCAGGCAAGAGGCCCGGUUACUCAGUGAGAAGACUUAAAAUAAACUCGUUUUAUUUUUUUCUUCUUUUUUUCUUUUUUUUCUUUUUUUAAUAAUAAUAGGGUGUUCAUCACACAUAUAACUUUAAAUUAUCCAGAAGAUUAAAAGUAUUCAUAUUAGUUGUAAGUUUACAUACCCCACUAUUCAUGUGCUUAUGUGUAGGUGCUAAAUCAUCUUGUAUCAUGUUAGCAGAAGAUAGGUGGGACGAAAACUCAA